rnacentral:misc_RNA from 1 species
GAAGGAGUGAGUACCUGAGCUUGUCUGCGAGGGGCGAGCAUCAGUUCAUAAAAGCAUAAAUGCUGAUUUCACAGGCCCUAUAAGAAGUCAGUUUUAGUUUCGAUCAGGAAAGAGAUUUCGAGAUGUAAGGAGGAUUUCUCUUGCCCUCUUGGAGAACUUCCUUCUUAUUUUAAGUUUCCUUCUGUCAGUUAAAGAACAUGAAUUAAAAACUUCCUUCUG